rnacentral:rRNA from 1 species
GAUGAACGCUGGCGGCGUGCCUAAUACAUGCAAGUCGAGCGAACAGAUGAGGAGCUUGCUCCUUUGACGUUAGCGGCGGACGGGUGAGUAACACGUGGGUAACCUACCUAUAAGACUGGGAUAACUUCGGGAAACCGGAGCUAAUACCGGAUAACAUAUUGAACCGCAUGGUUCUAUAGUGAAAGAUGGUUUUGCUGUCCCUUAUAGAUGGACCCGCGCCGCAUUAGCUAGUUGGUAAGGUAACGGCUUACCAAGGCAACGAUACGUAGCCGACCUGAGAGGGUGAUCGGCCACACUGGAACUGAGACACGGUCCAGACUCCUACGGGAGGCAGCAGUAGGGAAUCUUCCGCAAUGGGCGAAAGCCUGACGGAGCAACGCCGCGUGAGUGAUGAAGGUCUUCGGAUCGUAAAACUCUGUUAUUAGGGAAGAACAAAUGUGUAAGUAACUAUGCACGUCUUGACGGUACCUAAUCAGAAAGCCACGGUUAACUACGUG